UUGAACUUAAGCAUAUCAAUAAGCCGGAGGAAAAUCAUUACCUAGAGUUGCGGGCUUUGCCUGCAUCUCUUACCCAUGUCUUUUGAGUACCUUCGUUUCCUCGGCGG
rnacentral:rRNA from 1 species